rnacentral:rRNA from 1 species
UAACGCGUAGGCAACCUACCCUUUAGACGGGGACAACAUUCCGAAAGGAGUGCUAAUACCGGAUGUGAUCAUCGUGCCGCAUGGCAGGAUGAAGAAAGAUGGCCUCUACAAGUAAGCUAUCGCUAAAGGAUGGGCCUGCGUCUGAUUAGCUAGUUGGUAGUGUAACGGACUACCAAGGCGAUGAUCAGUAGCCGGUCUGAGAGGAUGAACGGCCACAUUGGGACUGAGACACGGCCCAAACUCCUACGGGAGGCAGCAGUGGGGAAUCUUCCGCAAUGGACGAAAGUCUGACGGAGCAACGCCGCGUGAGUGAUGAAGGAUUUCGGUCUGUAAAGCUCUGUUGUUUAUGACGAACGUGCAGUGUGUGAACAAUGCAUUGCAAUGACGGUAGUAAACGAGGAAGCCACGGCUAACUACGUGCCAGCAGCCGCGGUAAUACGUAGGUGGCGAGCGUUGUCCGGAAUUAUUGGGCGUAAAGAGCAUGUAGGCGGCUUAAUAAGUCGAGCGUGAAAAUGCGGGGCUCAACCCCGUAUGGCGCUGGAAACUGUUAGGCUUGAGUGCAGGAGAGGAAAGGGGAAUUCCCAGUGUAGCGGUGAAAUGCGUAGAUAUUGGGAGGAACACCAGUGGCGAAGGCGCCUUUCUGGACUGUGUCUGACGCUGAGAUGCGAAAGCCAGGGUAGCGAACGGGAUUAGAU